rnacentral:rRNA from 1 species
AUUGAACGCUGGCGGCAUGCCUUACACAUGCAAGUCGAACGGCAGCGGGCCCUUCGGGGUGCCGGCGAGUGGCGAACGGGUGAGUAAUGCAUCGGAACGUACCCGGGAGAGGGGGAUAACCGGCCGAAAGGCUGGCUAAUACCGCAUGAACUCGGAAGAGCAAAGCGGGGGACCUUCGGGCCUCGCGCUCUCGGAGCGGCCGAUGUCCGAUUAGGCUAGUUGGUGGGGUAAAGGCCCACCAAGGCGACGAUCGGUAGCGGGACUGAGAGGACGAUCCGCCACACUGGGACUGAGACACGGCCCAGACUCCUACGGGAGGCAGCAGUGGGGAAUCUUGGACAAUGGGCGCAAGCCUGAUCCAGCAAUGCCGCGUGGGUGAAGAAGGCCUUCGGGUUGUAAAGCCCUUUCGGCGGGGAAGAAAUCGGUCAGGCGAAUAGUCUGGCCGGAUGACGGUACCCGCAGAAGAAGCACCGGCUAACUACGUG